AGUAACGGCGAGUGAAGCGGUAAUAGCUCAAAUUUGAAAUCUGGCCUCUCGGGGUCCGAGUUGUAAUUUGUAGAGGAUGUUUUGGGUACCGCCCCGGCCUAAAUUUCUUGGAACAGAAUGUCAAAGAGGGUGAGAAUCCCGUCUUGGACCGGCGGUAGGGCCUGUGUAAAACUCCUUCGACGAGUCGAGUUGUUUGGGA
rnacentral:rRNA from 1 species